rnacentral:rRNA from 1 species
UACGAAGGGUGCAAGCGUUACUCGGAAUUACUGGGCGUAAAGGGUGCGUAGGCGGGUUUUUAAGUCAGGGGUGAAAUCCUGGAGCUCAACUCCAAAACUGCCUUUGAUACUGAAGAUCUUGAGUUCGGGAGAGGUGAGUGGAACUGCGAGUGUAGAGGUGAAAUUCGUAGAUAUUCGCAAGAACACCAGUGGCGAAGGCGGCUCACUGGCCCGAUACUGACGCUGAGGUGCGAAAGCGUGGGGAGCAAACAGG